rnacentral:ribozyme from 1 species
CAGCCCCAAACCAGGAGGGGCAAACCAAGGAGUGACACUACGGGCAGAUUCUGUUUUCGAUGACAAGUAGAAACCA